rnacentral:ribozyme from 13 species
AGGAAAAAAAAAAAAAAAAAAAAAAAAAAAAAAAAAAAAAAAAAAA